UGAACGCUGGCGGCGUGCCUAACACAUGCAAGUCGAACGAAGCUUGACGGAUGAUUUCUUCGGAAUGAAACCUGAUAUGACUUAGUGGCGGACGGGUGAGUAACACGUGAGCAACCUGCCUUUCAGAGGGGGAUAACGGCUGGAAACGGUCGCUAAUACCGCAUGAUGUGUUCGGAUGGCAUCAUCUGAACAUCAAAGAUUUAUCGCUGAAAGAUGGGCUCGCGUCUGAUUAGAUAGUUGGUGGGGUAACGGCCUACCAAGUCUACGAUCAGUAGCCGGACUGAGAGGUUGAACGGCCACAUUGGGACUGAGAUACGGCCCAGACUCCUACGGGAGGCAGCAGUGGGGAAUAUUGCACAAUGGGGGAAACCCUGAUGCAGCAACGCCGCGUGAAGGAUGACGGUUUUCGGAUUGUAAACUUCUUUUCUUAGUGACGAAGACAGUGACGGUAGCUAAGGAAUAAGCAUCGGCUAACUACGUGCCAGCAGCCGCGGUAAUACGUAGGAUGCAAGCGUUAUCCGGAUUUACUGGGUGUAAAGGGAGCGCAGGCGGGACUGCAAGUUGGAUGUGAAAUACCGUGGCUUAACCACGGAACUGCAUCCAAAACUGUAGUUCUUGAGUGAAGUAGAGGCAAGCGGAAUUCCGAGUGUAGCGGUGAAAUGCGUAGAUAUUCGGAGGAACACCAGUGGCGAAGGCGGCUUGCUGGGCUUUAACUGACGCUGAGGCUCGAAAGUGUGGGGAGCAAACAGGAUUAGAUACCCUGGUAGUCCACACUGUAAACGAUGAUAGCUAGGUGUGGGGGGUCUGACCCCU
rnacentral:rRNA from 1 species